UACGUAGGGGGCAAGCGUUAUCCGGAUUUACUGGGUGUAAAGAGAGCGCAGACGGCAGUGCGAGUCUGAUGUGAAAGCCCGGGGUUCAACCCCGGAACUGCAUUGGAAACUGUACAGCUUGAGUGUCGGAGAGGUAAGCGGAAUUCCUAGUGUAGCGGUGAAAUGCGUAGAUAUUAGGAGGAAUACCAGUUGCGAAGGCGGCUCUCUGGACUGUAACUGACACUGAGGCACGAAAGCGUGGGGAGCAAACAGGAUUAGAUACCCU
rnacentral:rRNA from 1 species